CACACCACUGCACUCCAGCCUGGGCGACAGUGAGACCUGGUCUCAAAAAAAAAAAUUCAUUUCCAACAGGGAUAGGCACGCAGUCCGGGCUUGGGCAGAGCACUCACUACCCUCAAGGCAGCUCAACCACCGCCAGGCAGUUCAGACUGUUAGAAAGUGUUUCAAAAAGGAUGGCCCUGCUAUGGACUACCUCACACUGCCAGCAGCACACACUGAGCUCACGUCUCCUCUACAUGUUCCUGGACUUUUGCUCCAACUUAAGUAUAGAAUGCACCCCAACUUAAGUAUAGUUUAACACUUGAUUUUCUUGGUUUCAGGCCAUCCUUCUGGGUCGUUUUGAGUGCUGUUUGGAUCUCAAUGUGAUCAUCUGGGGAAUGUGCUCUCUUUUCAUUGGCGUCAUCUGAAAUAGAAUAAGCACGUGCUUCUUGUCUUCAUCUAAGAGGUGGGAGAAAAUGAGAAACAGGACAGGACCGAGGGCAGAGUCUCAGGACCAGAGACUGCCCACCAGGUGCAGCUCAUCAAACUACUUCCUUCCUCACAACGGACUUUGCGUAUGCUUAGCUUCCAGCAGUUCAUCAACAGAGGCAAGCGCCAGAACCCAGAGCUGCCUGAAGCAGACAGGAUGCACUUGGAUGUUCGAGUAAAAAGCUGGAAGGUCAUCCUCUUCAAGGGAGCAAGGAUGGACACACAGUAGCUGCGUCUGGUGACACCGCCCCACCUUCCUGGCCCUUUCCUGCUUCUCAUCUUGAUUGUGGAUUGCCAGAUGAAUGAGAAACCUCAGCCCCAGGGCUUCAGCAGUCCCCACAGUGAAUCUACACGUGCCUUGGCUGCCUGAGGAUUCGAUGUCGUCAGCAGUGGUCAGGAAGGGAAGUAUAUACACUGUAGAUACCAUUUCAUCAGAAUGAGUCUCCCUGACUGUUUGGAGACUGAGCUCUGUCACCCAUCUGGGCUCUGGGCCUGCUCUGUGAUCUGCCUCAGGAAAGUCACAUCUCACUGUUCCUGGGGGACCACAAAGACAGCUUUUGUUCCUCCCCUUUUUAGCCCUGCCUGACACUCUCCCCAGCACUUCCAUCCCUAGCUUCUGAUUUUCCUCCUGAAGGAAGGGCAGCUCCCCUCUGUCCCCCAUAGACUGGCUCCUUUCAAAGGCUGGCCCUCCACUCGCUCGGCCCCAGGGACACCUGCGAGAUCGUGUCCACCUACUUACGCUGCCACCUUGCAGUCACUGGGGCUUCUCUGAGCUUUGACCAGGACUCCAUAACUACUCCUGACUCCACCCUGGCUGUUUCUCUCUCAGUGGCCUUGUGGAGGUCCCCUCUCCAGGUUUUCCACAGAUCAGGGCCAUGGUCUCACACACACGUGCCCCCACGCCCUCUCUCCCAC
rnacentral:lncRNA from 1 species